rnacentral:rRNA from 1 species
CCUACGGGUGGCAGCAGUGAGGAAUAUUGGUCAAUGGGCGCGAGCCUGAACCAGCCAAGUCGCGUGAGGGAAGACGGUCCUAUGGAUUGUAAACCUCUUUUGUCGGGGAGCAAAAGACGCCACGCGUGGCGUUCCGAGUGUACCCGAAGAAAAAGCAUCGGCUAACUCCGUGCCAGCAGCCGCGGUAAUACGGAGGAUGCGAGCGUUAUCCGGAUUUAUUGGGUUUAAAGGGUGCGCAGGCGGAAGAUCAAGUCAGAGGGAAAAUUGGGAGGCUCAACCUCUGCGAGCCGUUGAAACUGGUGUUCUUGAGUGAGUGAGAGGUAUGCGGAAUGCGUGGUGUAGCGGUGAAAUGCAUAGAUAUCACGCAGAACUCCGAUUGCGAAGGCAGCAUACCGGAGCGCAACUGACGCUCAUGCACGAAAGUGUGGGUAUCGAACAGGAUUAGAUACCCCUGUAGUC